GUGAAGCCAGGAUCCACCCCUUCCUAGAACUCAUGUAAGGGUUGGCAAUGGAGGCAAGGGUGCCUUGCUGGAGAUCCCUGCAUACCUGAGGCCCUCUGAAGACACGGAGCUGGAAGAGAAACUUCUCCCUUACAAAUCAAAGCACUUGCUUCAUCCCUUCUUUUCUCUCUUGCCCAAUCAUCCAGAUUAAUUCUGGAUUGAGAACAUAAUUUCAAGCCUUUAUUGCACUUCUUUGGGCCAGAGAACAUUCCUUUUUUUAAAGGAAAAUCUCCAUAAAUAUUACUUUGCUUUUGAUUAAGUGAAUGCACAGCAGAAGGCGGAAUUGCUUGAAGCCCUUUCCACUGGGAUGGCCUGCAGCUUGCCAACCUCAUGGGAUGGCUGCAGCACUGGGACACGCAGCCAGGACACCAGUGGGAUGUCUGUGGGCUGAUUUGUCAGAUGUGAUGCACAAAGACAACAGGUUGGCUGCCUCUGAACCGCUUGCAGACCCUGUCAAACCCUUCUGCCUGUGUCUGAGGACAUGUAGCAGUUAAGGAACUGGCCCACCAGGUGCGAGGGGUACCUUGGCUUCAGCCCUUCCUGCCCCAGCAGCCCAUGGCACAGCCACUCCCCCUGCUUCACUCCCACCUCCAAGCACCACAGUGAUAGCACUGUCAAAUGUGUUGAGGGGAACAAGAUUAGAUAAGGAAUAAGGAAGAGGGAGGAGGCACUCUUUCUGCUGAUAUGUCAUCACUGGAACAUCUGUAUUAUGUCUGGGUGUGCUAGCAAUUGCUUCUUUAAAGUCCCACUGCAAGACAAUUAGAACUGAUAAAUCAUAAGAAUUUUCUGGUUUUAAGAUCCCCAAUGCAAUGGGAAAAAGAAAAGAAUGGACGCUCACCUGAAAUCUGCUGAGCGCUGACACAAAAACCUAGCUUUAGGAUGAUAUAGUAAAGUACUAUAAAACACAAAAAGGGUAGGUUGUUUUUCUAGUUUUGCUUGGAAUCCCACUCAUACUCGAGGCAUUUUUCAUGAUUCUCUCCUUUCCUGUGGAGGAAAAAAAAAAGAUUUUAAGUGGAGCCUAGUCUUUAGGAGUUGUGUAUAUAUGCUCUUGACUGAUGAACUCUUUCAUGUGCAUGUGAUCCAAUAGAAAGUCAUUUAAAAAAAUCAAACCAUAAAUUAUAGGAUGAAUUCGUAGCAAAGGUUAGGGAGAAGUCAGAACAGUUUGCUGAAGUUUAUUCUCUCCCUCUCUAUGACAUACUAGAUGAGAAGACAGUAUAUAGCGGGGGCUUUCCCAGUUGUUUGUACACAUUCUCCCACACCCUAACACAGAGGUAGGAAGUGGAGCAGAAUUGUUUAUAGAACUAAAGCUGGAUAAGCUAUCUAUGCAGAGCCUCUGCAGCAGAGGGCUUGCUUUGCAUGCUUUUAUACCUCAGUGAAUUUCAGUAGGAGCUGCGCUUUCACUUACACUACAUGGGCUACUGAAAGCCUUUGACCCAAUCUAUUUGCAACAGUUGAUCUCCCCUCUAAAUGGAGCCAGACGCUCAUUGCUCUGGCUGGUGCUAAGAGCUGGUGCACCUUGGCCUUGUGAAAGCAAACGGCAAGAAAAUCUGAAGAGAACAACUGUGAUUUCCCUCCGAACACAAAAUGUGUUUGAGCAGAAUAGAGUUAAAAUAAAUGACGUGGGGCGUUCUAGUGGAAAAACUUCUGACAUCUGGUUAUGCUCACACAAGCCAUUUGCUACCAAAGUAACUCCUGGAGGCUGAAAUGGCUUGAUGACAACAUAGGAAGAGGAUGGAGGAAGAAUGGCCUUUGACUCAUUCACAGGAAUCACCACGGCCAGAAGGAGUUGGCUAAAGAUCUUCCUGGCCAAGUACCAGCCCUGAUGAGGGAUUCUCAAAUACUUCUUGUGCAGGGGCUGAAGGCUACAAAUAAGUGAGAGGGAUGCGCAGAAGAGAAGGCAAAUAGAGAAUGAGGAACGACUCUGGAGAUGAUGUUUGCCAGCAGCUUGUGACACCACUCUGCGGCUCCUUGCCUUUUUCAAUAUUCAGAAGUGAAUAAAUAAAUAAAAACACAUUUUAAAAUUGGGAAUAAAUAAAUAAAAACAGAACAAACAACAACAGUAAAAAGGCAUGAUGAUGGCUACACACAGCAUCACUCAGUCUCAGCUGGGUUCCUGUACGCGUCUGCCCAGUUCCAGCCAGCGCUUCAGCAAUAAUUGAGUCAAAGCUGUCAGUAUGUACAAAAAUCUGGCCCAAUUCAUCUAAAUAUAGACCGUAGUGGGACAUUAUUGAAAAUAAGGGUUUAUCAUUUUAAUCAGUACCCCUUGGUUUAAUUCACUGCUACACAACAUUCCAGUGACUGGCUGUUCUCUUAGCAAUUUCCUUCAACUCUUCCAUGGGUCAGUAUCCGGGACUGAUAUCUCCUUCUUUUUCCCCAUGGAGCCAGAACAUGCAGAGCAGCCCACUUCUAACUGUAUGCAAUGAAAUGGCCCCAUAAAGGCCACGUGCAGACUGGAUGCGUGUGAGCAUGUGAACAGGGGGGCUUCUUUGUGAGGUAACUGCAUAUCAGCACAGCUAAAUAUCCUGGUUAGUCUCAGCAGCAAUCUAGGAAGGCAGCUGGGAAAACAUCAAAAUAAUUCACAACACAGAUAUCAUUGAAUUGUAAAAGGAGAAAAGCUGCACCUCUGUUUCUGGCCGGUAUUUUAAAGAUAUGAUUUGAUGAAAAUCAGAGUUGUGUUUUGAUAAUUCUAAACUUCUGUGAUUACAG
ensembl:lncRNA